GGGGAUGCUUGGUUUUGACAGCAAGAUGAAUUGUCAUGUAAGCAUGCCGAGCCUCGCAGUGACGCUCGUUAAUCUUGACUGCAAAAGAAUAAUUGGCGAGAAUAACUACGCUUUCGCUGCCUAAUCGAAGUACAGUAGAUUACUGGCUUAAUCCGCUCACAAGGUGGGUGGACGAAACAUCCCGCAGGUGGAGAUUCCUGAUUCCGGCCUGAGCCCGGGGUGCUAAUCAAUUUCGGGAUAGUCUUGUCGGCGCUCCGACGGCGAGGCGAAACUUAGGAGAUAAGGUCGCGUUUAGGGCGUUCGCUCCCUUGCACGGCACGAAAACCAAUAGCGGAAUAAGCAUGUAGAAAGCCUGGGGGUUCCUUGUUUGGACGAGGGUUCGACUCCCUCCAUCUCCACGG
rfam:Bacterium P201 scaffold_26, whole genome shotgun sequence.